GGGGCUCUACCAGCGACACAGACUCUACCUACUGAGCUACACAGGCUCAACCUACUGAGCUACAGGGGCUCUACCAGUGACACAGGCUCAACCUACUGAGCUACAGAGGCUCUACCAGAUGGUGUCAUACAGCAAUGUCUCAUGUUGAAGGAUGCUCUUCAACCCCACAUCCCCUUGACUUCCACUCCUCCCUCCUUCAACACCUCCGCUCUCUCUCCUCCCAGGUAUGUUACCCCAUACAAACAAGAUAAAGCAAUGUCUCAUGUUGAAGGAUGCUCUUCAACCCCACAUCCCCUUAACUGCCACUCCUCCCUCCUUCAACACCUCCUCCUCUCUCUCUCCUCCCAGGACACCAUACAUACACAGUGUGUGUGUGUGAGGAGACAUCUGAGGCUCAUAUUGUUCUUGUUUCCCAGAAUUCCAUGCUGCUCGCUCCCGGUGCUUAACAUAGUUGGCAGUUCUCUUCAUCCUCCUAACUACACAGUAUGGCCUUUUUUUUUUUUUUUUUUUUAAAAGACGGCCAGACCAGGUGCAUAUUCUCUUCCAGAUCCAACUCUGUUCUGUUCUUGUGCUGAAGCUCUGUCCAGCACCACUGCUCAAGCGUGUCCAACACUUUCACUGGAGAGAGAGAGAGAGAAAGAAGAGACGUCACAGAGUGAGAGGAAAGAUUUGAAGAGUGGAACAAAGACACCAGCAGAAAAAAGUACAUUUAUAUAUAAAAAAAUAUCUAACCGUACUAUCAAACAUCCACACCCAGUUCCAUCUAAACCAACUCUACAUCCAAACCCCAAACACCAGUUUGGAGGUUCCAUCAAAACAGCCACAUCCGGCAAGUGUGACUCACACAGCCACAUGAGAAGCAGUCUUACUCUGUAUAAAAUGUCUUACUUAUAGCUUACUUACUCUUACAUUACAGAGAGUAAAUCCAGUAUUGUACACUAUAAAUCCAGUAUUGUACACUAUUCGAGCUUAAUGUUAUGUGGAAUAAAGGCACUGUAUUUAUAAAGAAAAUAAAAGCCAAA
ensembl:lncRNA